rnacentral:rRNA from 1 species
AUUGAACGCUGGCGGCAGGCUUAACACAUGCAAGUCGAACGAGUGGCGGACGGGUGAGUAAUGCUUGGGAAUCUAGCUUAUGGAGGGGGAUAACUACGGGAAACUGUAGCUAAUACCGCGUAACAUAGGAUGAGCCCAAGUGGGAUUAGGUAGUUGGUGAGGUAAGGGCUCACCAAGCCGACAAUCUCUAGCUGGUCUGAGAGGAUGACCAGCAACACUGGGCCUGGGACACGGCCCAGACUCCUACGGGAGGCAGACGUGGGGAAUAUUGCGCAAUGGGGGCAACCUGACGCAGCCAUGCCGCGUGAAUGAAGAAGGCCUUCGGGUUGUAAAGUUCUUUCGGUAGCGAGGCGUUAACUACAGAAGAAGCACCGGCUAACUCCGUGCCAGCAGCCGCGGUAAUUC